AGCAGCCGCGGUAAUUCCAGCUCCAAUAGCGUAUAUUAAAGUUGUUGCAGUUAAAAAGCUCGUAGUUGAAUUUCGGGGUCUAUCCAUUGGUCGGGCUUUAUUGUCCGUACUGGUGUGAUGGGUUCCUACCUUCUGAAUAACCGGCAUGCCAUUCAUUUGGUGCGUCGGGGAAGCAGAGCUAUUACCUUGAAAAAAUUAGAGUGCUUAAAGCAGGCUAGUGCUUGAAUAGAUUAGCAUGGAAUAAUAAAAUAGGACGGCAUGGUCCUAUUUUGUUGGUUUCUAGGAUCACCGUAAUGAUUAAUAGGGAUAGUUGGGGGCAUUAGUAUUCAAUUGUCAGAGGUGAAAUUCUUGGAUUUAUUGAAGACUAACUUCUGCGAAAGCAUUUGCCAAGGAUGUUUUCAUUAAUCAAGAACGAAAGUUAGGGGAUCGAAGACGAUCAGAUACCGUCGUAGUCUUAACCAUAAACUAUGCCGACUAGGGAUCGGACGAAGUUAAUUUUUAAUAGUACUCGUUCGGCGCC
rnacentral:rRNA from 1 species